rnacentral:lncRNA from 1 species
CUGGACUGUACUGCUGCCAUCUCUGCUCACUGCAACCUCCCUGCCUGAUUCUCCUGCCUCAGCCUGCCGAGUGCCUGCGAUUGCAGGCGCGCGCCGCCACGCCUGACUGGUUUUCGUAUUUUUUGGGUGGAGACGGGGUUUCGCUGUGUUGGCCGGGCUGGUCUCCAGCCCCUAACCGCGAGUGAUCUGCCAGCCUCGGCCUCCCGAGGUGCCGGGAUUGCAGACGGAGUCUCUCAAUGGUGCCCAGGCUGGAGUGCAGUGGCGUGAUCUCGGCUCGCUACAACAUCCACCUCCCAGCAGCCUGCCUUGGCCUCCCAAAGUGCCGAGAUUGCAGCCUCUGCCCGGCCGCCACCCCGUCUGGGAAGUGAGGAGCGUCUCUGCCUGGCCGCCCAUCAUCUGGGAUGUGAGGAGCCCCUCUGCCUGGCUGCCCAGUCUGGAAAGUGAGGAGCGUCUCUGCCCAGCCGCCAUCCCAUCUAGGAAGUGAGGAGCGCCUCUUCCCGGCCGCCAUCACAUCUAGGAAGUGCGGAGCCUCUCUGCCCGGCCACCCAUCGUCUGAGAUGUGGGGAGCGCCUCUGCCCUGUCGCCCCGUCCGGGAUGUGAGGAGCGUCUCUCCCUGGCCGCCCCGUCUGAGAAGUGAGGAGCCCCUCCGCCCAGCAGCCACCCUGUCUGGGAAGUGAGGAGGGUCUCCGCCCGGCAGCCACCCCGUCCGGGAGGGAGAUGGGGGGGUCAGCCCCCCGCCCGGCCAGCCGCCCUGUCCGGGAGGUGGGGGGGUCAGUCCCCCGCCCGGCCAGCCGCCCCGUCCGGGAGGGAGGUGGGGGGGUCAGCCCCCCGCCUGGCUAGCCGCCCCAUCCCGGAGGUGAGGGGCGCCUCUGCCUGGCCGCCCCUACUGGGAAGUGAGGAGCCCCUCUGCCCGGCCAGCCGCCCCGUCCGGGAGGGAGGUGGGGGGGGUCAGCCCCCCGCCUGGCCAGCCGCCCCAUCCGGGAGGUGAGGGGCGCCUUUGCCCGGCCGCCCCUACUGGGAAGUGAGGAGCCCCUCUGCCCGGCCAGCCGCCCCGUCUGGGAGGGAGGUGGGGGGGGUCAGCCCCCCGCCCGGCCAGCCGCCCCGUCCGGGAAGGAGGUUGGGGGGUCAGCCCCCCGCCCGGCCGGGAAGGAGGUUGGGGGGUCAGCCCCCCGCCCGGCCAGCCACCCCGUCCGGGAGGUGAGGGGCGCCUCUGCCCGGCCGCUCCUACUGGGAAGUGAGGAGCCCCUCUGCCCGGCCACCACCCCGUCUGGGAGGUGUACCCAACAGCUCAUUGAGAACGGGCCAUGAUGACAAUGGCGGUUUUGUGGACUAGAAAGGUGGGAAAGGUGGGGAAAAGAUUGAGAAAUCGGAUGGUUGCCGUGUCUGUGUAGAAAGAGGUAGACGUGGGAGACUUUUCAUUUUGUUCUGUACUAAGAAAAAUUCUUCUGCCUUGGGAUCCUGUUGAUCUGUGACCUUACCCCCAACCCUGUGCUCUCUGAAACAUGUGCUGUGUCCACUCAGGGUUAAAUGGAUUAAGGGCGGUGCAAGAUGUGCUUUGUUAAACAGACGCUUGAAGGCAGCAUGCUCGUUAAGAGUCAUCACCACUCCCUAAUCUCAAGUACCCAGGGACACAAACACUGCGGAAGGCCGUGGGGUCCUCUGCCUAGGAAAACCAGAGACCUUUGUUCACUUGUUUAUCUGCUGACCUUCCCUCCACUAUUGUCCUGUGACCCUGCCAAAUCCCCCUCUGCGAGAAACACCCAAGAA